rnacentral:lncRNA from 1 species
GCAAAAUAAUUUAUUUAAAUUAUUUAGCUCCCUCAAUCAUAUGUAGGUAUAGAUAGAUACAGAUAUAGAUAUAGAUAUAGACAUAGAGAUAUAGAUAUAAAUAGAUAUAGAUAGUUAUAUAGAUUUUUUUUAUGAUCCAAAAAGAGGACACUUUCCAAUAGGGAGGAUGAGUUACUAAUUUAUUUUUGUGAGUGCUUGUAAGUUUAUUUAUUACCUAAAAGUCUAAAAUAUAUUUUGUUGUGAUUAAUUAUACCUUUGUUUGUAGUUUUAAAUCUGUUUGUUUCCUUGUUUGUUUUGAGAGAGAGCGAGAGUGUGCAUGCACAAACAGGGGAGGGGCAGAGAAAGAGGAAGAGAAAGAAUCCCAACAAGGCUCCAUGUUGUCAGCUCAGAACCCCACAUGGGGCUCAAUCUCAAACUGUGAGAUCAUGACCUGAGUCAAAUCGAAUUGGAUGAUUAACCAACUGAGCCACUGAAGCACCCCAUGAUUAAUUAUACUUUUAGCCUCAAGCUGCAUAUCAGUCGUAUCAGCAAAGGCUGGGAUGUUGAUAGUUGACACUGAGAAGGGUUUUGUAUUCAGUAUGUCCAUUAGUAUUGCCAUCAAUUCCAUUAGAUUCAGAAACUACUGAGACAAGUUAAGACUGUAAAUCCUUAUUAAAGUUACCGCUAGUUCGUAGGACUGCUGAGUUUCCCGUUACAUCGCAUGGACUUACAUACGAUAACCAUGUUUAUGGUGCAAAUGAACUAAGUAAACAUGAAGUUCUUCCUUCUUACCUGCCUUUUGGCUACUGCUCUUGCAAAGCAUGUAAGUAUAAUGACAUGUUUAUGAUUAUCUAUUCUUAUUUAAAUAUAAGAAGAGUGAAUCUUUUAUGC